CCUACGGAUGGCUGCAGUGAGGAAUAUUGGUCAAUGGGCGCAGGCCUGAACCAGCCAAGUCGCGUGAGGGAAGACUGCCCUAUGGGUUGUACACCUCUUUUAUAAGGGAAGAAUAAUGACUACGUGUAGUCAUAUGCCCGUACCUUAUGAAUAAGCAUCGGCUAACUCCGUGCCAGCAGCCGCGGUAAUACGGAGGAUGCGAGCGUUAUCCGGAUUUAUUGGGUUUAAAGGGUGCGUAGGCGGUAUUUUAAGUUAGUGGUAACACGUCGGGGCUUCACCUUGAUUGGCCAUUAAAACUGGAGUACUAGAGUACAGACGAGGUAGGCGGAAUAAGUUAAGUAGCGGUGAAAUGCUUAGAUAUAACUUAGAACCCCGAUAGCGAAGGCAGCUUACCAGACUGUUACUGACGCUGAAGCACGAGAGCGUGGGUAGCGAACAGGAUUAGAUACCCCAGUAGUC
rnacentral:rRNA from 1 species